rnacentral:rRNA from 1 species
UAAGACCUACGGGAGGCAGCAGUGAGGAAUAUUGGUCAAUGGUCGGGAGACUGAACCAGCCAAGCCGCGUGAGGGAGGAAGGUACAGAGUAUCGUAAACCUCUUUUGUCAGGGAACAAAGGCGGGGACGUGUCCCCGGAUGAGUGUACCUGAAGAAAAAGCAUCGGCUAACUCCGUGCCAGCAGCCGCGGUAAUACGGAGGAUGCGAGCGUUAUCCGGAUUUAUUGGGUUUAAAGGGUGCGCAGGCGGUAUGUUAAGUCAGCGGUCAAAGCGCGGGG